rnacentral:lncRNA from 1 species
CCAGUUUAACAACUCUGUUCACUGUUCCUAUUGCACAGUGGGCUCUUUGACGCAACAGAAAGAGCUGCUUUUUUUUCUUUUUUUUUUUUUUCCUUCUUUUUUUUUUUUUUUUUUUUUUGCUUCCUCUUAAAUCCGCCUGGCCAAUUUAAAGCUUGUGGAUAUUUCUUCCCCCUCGGGGACAGCUUAUGUGAGGAUUUUCUUUUUUAACAGUUCAUUCUGUUAAACCAUUUUUUUUUCUUGUUUGCUGUUAGAAAAUGUUGGAGCUGAACACAAGGCUUUCAUUGCAGACUGCUAUCAAGGGAACUAAGAAAGGAUGUAGGCAUAUUGUUAAUGUCUCUCUUCAAGCUGUAUUUGAGGAGGCCAGCUUUUAUAGUGCAUCCAUAGGAAGCGUCUCCACUACAGCCUUUCACCACACAGGAGACAGACUGAGGAUGUAGGCAGCUGACAAAUGUGAAAGCAAUGAAGAGGUGUUCCGAGGUUGACAGCGCUUUUCAUAGUACACGCAUUUUCUGGGAAGGGCAUAAGAAGGGAGAUAAACAAGGGACGAUUUUGGCAAGCUGAGAAGAAGCUGUGGCAGAUAAAGAUGUUCCAAAGACAAGAUCACAUCAAAAAGGUAAGAGCACCAACUUCAGCCUGUCCUUU